CUGGCAUUCGUCUAAUUAGUUUUUGGCAUCUAAAAAUAGAGCGAGACGAUAAAUAUAGGUUUCGAAGGGGGAGCUCUGGCGCAUAACACAUUUCAUCUGGCGCUUCGUCUCGUCUCCGUUCCCGGCUCCAGUCCGCUUAUGCGUGAUAAUUCAAUUAGGAAUGUGUGAAUCAGCAGCAACAACAAUCAGCGGCAACAGCAGUGGCAGCCGCGGCAGCGACAGCAGCACCAAAGUGCAGCGGAAGCAAAGAGAGAAAAAGAAACAGAAACAAGAAACAAGAAACUCGAAAAAAAUUGUCCACCAAAACGCAACCUCAAUAGAAACACAAGACCAAAGAGGAGCAGAAGCAGAAGCAGGGAGAAGAGAGAACGAGAAAACCAUGUCCAUGUUGCAACCCUGUUUGUAUCGGUCGACGCCAGCAGAAGCAGAGAAACACAACAGACAGAGCAGAGCUGCUGUCGGUCUAUGGACUGGAGGGACGUGAUGCGGGGCAUUAUAUGCGCAGCUUGUGUGCCUCGAAAAUACAUACAGCAGCGGGCAGUGAAAUAUGGACAGUCAAAACAAAG
rnacentral:lncRNA from 1 species